UUGCUUUUGAGCUUGUGGU
rnacentral:piRNA from 2 species